rnacentral:rRNA from 1 species
GGCGUGCCUAAUACAUGCAAGUCGAACGCACUCUCGUUUAGAUUGAAGGAGCUUGCUCCUGAUUGAUAAACAUUUGAGUGAGUGGCGGACGGGUGAGUAACACGUGGGUAACCUGCCCUAAAGUGGGGGAUAACAUUUGGAAACAGAUGCUAAUACCGCAUAAAACCUAACACCGCAUGGUGUAGGGUUGAAAGAUGGUUUCGGCUAUCACUUUAGGAUGGACCCGCGGUGCAUUAGUUAGUUGGUGAGGUAAAGGCUCACCAAGACCGUGAUGCAUAGCCGACCUGAGAGGGUAAUCGGCCACACUGGGACUGAGACACGGCCCAGACUCCUACGGGAGGCAGCAGUAGGGAAUCUUCCGCAAUGGACGAAAGUCUGAUGGAGCAACGCCGCGUGAGUGAAGAAGGUUUUCGGAUCGUAAAACUCUGUUGUUGGAGAAGAAUGUAUCUGAUAGUAACUGAUCAGGUAGUGACGGUAUCCAACCAGAAAGCCACGGCUAACUACGUGCCAGCAGCCGCGGUAAUACGUAGGUGGCAAGCGUUGUCCGGAUUUAUUGGGCGUAAAGCGAGCGCAGGCGGUUUCUUAAGUCUGAUGUGAAAGCCUUCGGCUCAACCGAAGAAGUGCAUCGGAAACUGGGAAACUUGAGUGCAGAAGAGGACAGUGGAACUCCAUGUGUAGCGGUGAAAUGCGUAGAUAUAUGGAAGAACACCAGUGGCGAAGGCGGCUGUCUGGUCUGUAACUGACGCUGAGGCUCGAAAGCAUGGGUAGCAAACAGGAUUAGAUACCCUGGUAGUCCAUGCCGUAAACGAUGAGUGCUAGGUGUUGGAGGGUUUCCGCCCUUCAGUGCCGCAGCUAACGCAUUAAGCACUCCGCCUGGGGAGUACGACCGCAAGGUUGAAACUCAAAGGAAUUGACGGGGGCCCGCACAAGCGGUGGAGCAUGUGGUUUAAUUCGAAGCAACGCGAAGAACCUUACCAGGUCUUGACAUCCUUUGACCACUCUAGAGAUAGAGCUUUCCCUUCGGGGACAAAGUGACAGGUGGUGCAUGGUUGUCGUCAGCUCGUGUCGUGAGAUGUUGGGUUAAGUCCCGCAACGAGCGCAACCCUUAUUACUAGUUGCCAGCAUUUAGUUGGGCACUCUAGUGAGACUGCCGGUGACAAACCGGAGGAAGGUGGGGACGACGUCAAAUCAUCAUGCCCCUUAUGACCUGGGCUACACACGUGCUACAAUGGAUGGUACAACGAGUUGCGAGACCGCGAGGUUUAGCUAAUCUCUUAAAACCAUUCUCAGUUCGGAUUGUAGGCUGCAACUCGCCUACAUGAAGCCGGAAUCGCUAGUAAUCGCGGAUCAGCAUGCCGCGGUGAAUACGUU